rnacentral:ncRNA from 1 species
GAUGAACGCUGGCGGCAUGCUUAACAAAUGCAAGUCGAACGGGAAGUGGUGUUUCCAGUGGCGAACGGGUGAGUAACGCGUAAGAACCUGCCCUUGGGAGGGGAACAACAACCGGAAACGGUUGGUCACACCCCGUCGGCUGAGGAGCCAAAGGAGAAAACCGCCCAGGGAGGGGCCCGCGCGUGAAGUGACUGCUCGCGAGGGACAAGCGUGAGG